GACGAACGCUGGCGGCGUGCUUAACACAUGCAAGUCGAACGCUGAGGCUUGGUGCUUGUAGUGGGUGCAUGAGUCGCGCACGGGUGAGUAAUACGUGAGUCCCCUGCCUUUGUCUCUGGGAUAUGCCUGGGAAACUGGGUCUUAUACUGGAUACGACCUGUCUCCGUGUGGUGGUGUGUGGAGUGUGUUUUGCUGGUUUUGGAUGGGCUCGCGGCCUAUCAGCUUGUUGGUGGGGUAAUGGCUCACCAAGGCGACGACGGGUAGCCGGCCUGAGAGGGUGACCGGCCACACUGGGACUGAGACACGGCCCAGACUCCUACGGGAGGCAGCAGUGGGGAAUAUUGCACAAUGGGCGGAAGCCUGAUGCAGCAACGCCGCGUGAGGGAUGACGGCCUUCGGGUUGUAAACCUCUUUCAGCAGGGACGAAGCGAAAGUGACGGUACGUGCAGAAGAAGCACCGGCUAACUACGUG
rnacentral:rRNA from 1 species